rnacentral:rRNA from 1 species
AACGAACGCUGGCGGCAGGCUUAACACAUGCAAGUCGAACGCCCGUAGCAAUACGGGAGUGGCGGACGGGUGAGUAACGCGUGGGAACGUGCCCUGAGGUACGGAAUAACUGCGGGAAACUGCAGCUAAUACCGUAUGAGCCCCGCAAGGGGGAAAGAUUUAUCGCCUUAGGAGCGGCCCGCGUCGGAUUAGCUAGUUGGUGGGGUAACGGCUUACCAAGGCUUCGAUCCGUAGCUGGUCUGAGAGGACGAUCAGCCACACUGGGACUGAGACACGGCCCAGACUCCUACGGGAGGCAGCAGUGGGGAAUCUUGCGCAAUGGGGGCAACCCUGACGCAGCCAUGCCGCAUGAAUGAUGAAGGCCUUAGGGUUGUAAAGUUCUUUUGCCCGUGACGAUGAUGACGGUAACGGGAGAAUAAGCUCCGGCUAACUUCGUGCCAGCCGCCGCAGUAAAAC